rnacentral:lncRNA from 1 species
GUAGUUGUAAAUCAUGUACUUCUGCUGCACCCAUCGAAGUCUGUUGCGCCCCGGGGCAUCAAGUGCUUGAACUUGCCAGGCAUUGUCUUGCACAGAAUUGGGAGAGGUGGAGGUACAAGGUGAUCCAGGUGACCAAACACAAGCAUUGGCUUUGAAAUUUCUGUAAGAAGCAAUGAAAGGAGCUUGUGUCCAAUCAGUCUUUACAAGCCCCCCUCUUGUUGCCCAGUCAUCAGCAUUCCAAAGACUUGAAUAUAUCCUCAUGGCUUGCUUGUUCGGGAAUGCCACACCAAUUGAUUCCAGGUUUUGGAACACUCUUAUUGGGAUGUUGUCCACUAAGAAACUGCAAUGAAAACGCAACAAAUUGCAAAUUAGCAUUAGGAAUUCGGGACCUGUAUGGUGAUACAGGAGUACUGAAAGUUGAGAGCAUAUUUUACUUACAUAAUGAGUUGUUUGUUCCACACAAUGGAGUAGGUGUGAAAAGCCUUACUGGGAUCAAACCAGAGAUAGAAUUGUUGUUCUCUGUCGCCUUUCCCCUGGGAGAACACAUUGGUAUGGAGAACAUAUGGCUCUCCAGUUGCAUUGCCCAAAAACUCAAAGUCGAUCUCAUCGUGGGUCGGCCCCUGAGACGAUAGCUGCACAAGUAAGAAAAAUAUGAGAAACCUCAAAUUUAUGAGUCAGAGAAGAAAUUCAAUUGGAGGAUAAGGAUCAAGACUUACAUAGUAUGUAGUGACAGUACCAGCCGAGUUGCCUGGUAUUAGCUUGAUUUGCAUGUCGAUUCGGCCAAAUAAGUAUUCAUUCUUGGAUUGGAAGCCAGAACCAGAAGCAGUGUCAAGAGAUAGUGUGAGAAGUUGGCCACCGUUUAGUAUCUUAGCACGUUGAUCGCCCCAGGUGAUGUCAAAAUCUUGGAAGAAAUAGCCACCUUUUGAGGAUCCUAUUAGAUAACCAAGUAACGAAACUAACAGAAGCAUUGAGGAAAGCUUACUGGGACAAGAGAAUGACAUCUUUGCUUUUCCAAGAUAGGGAGAUGUGUAGUAAGGAUGAGGAGAGAGCUAGAAUUGUGUUCUAUGAUGUUAGAAGCACUGCAGCUUGGUUCCUUUAUAUAGGUCCUUUUGAGGCAAUAACCUGUCCUGGUUGAUAUAAAAAUUCUACAGAGAGAGCUUACAUAUUUGGAUUCUUUUUUGACUGGUGACAGGCUUGCAAAUUAAUGAGAGGGAGAGAGGAAGAAACCCAGGAAGGCAGAAAAUCGUGUGUGCCUUUUGUUUCAGUGAAACAUUUGAAAUAGGAGAAAGCUUGUCUUGAACUGAUGGAAGCCAAAACCAUGCAAGCUGACCAUAUAAAAUAACUAAAUCCCAGCUGUAUGACUAAAUGAUGGUCAGUUGACAACUUCAGAUAGAGCCUGGCUGCUUGCUCAAAGCGUCGACUUUAUAACCGGAGACAGACGAGACAGUAGGCGCUGGGUGGUUUUCCUUAUCUACAUAUGCGCAAUACGAAGGAUGAAAGAGUCUUCCCGUUUUUGACCUGCCUUGGUUUCACUUGGUUCUCGUGGGUCUUUGCCCAAUAUUUAGAAACAUGUAUUUUAAAAUUGCCUAGAAGAUUCCUGAUGUAGCUUUGAUCUAACUUAGAUUUAUAGAUAUAUUUUUUUAAUAUUUAAUAGAAAGCUUACAAUUGGUUUCAAGAAUAGUUAUGGAGCAUAUCAAGUGCACUUUGAGCUCGAGGGGAGCACUCGAGCCCAGGUGUUGGGCACCAUGUGGGCUCGAGCAUGAGCAAGGCUCUCAUGGACUUGUCUCGAUUUUAAACCCAAUAAUAUAACCUUAAAGUUUAUAAGCCCAACAAGUGUUUCAAGCCUAAUUAUUAUUUUUUUCAUUAAUGAAUGUUAUCUUUUCUCAUUAAUGCAAGUGUAAAAGUUUUUUUUUUCAUUAAUCUUAUCAGAAUAAAAAAUUUAAUAUUUUACAUUUACUAUUCAGAUAAAAUGUUCAAUAUUUUACAUUAAAAAACACAUUAAUAUUCAACAUAACAAUAAUCUUAUUUUUAGAAUUUAAUGUUCUUUAAUAUAUUUAUUAAGAUUUCUGAAUUUAUUAUCCGAGGGCCUAAAAUCCUUCAAAAUAAGAUUUUUUAUAGGUAUUAAGAGGUUUUAAUCAAAAGACCUUUCCCUUUAUUUUAAAGAAAAUAGUUAUUUAAAGUAAUAAUUAAUUAACUUAUAAUUCAAUAAAAAAAACUUUAUUCUUGAAUAUAUUUGAUUUUGUAACAUCAUCAAAGCUUAACUUUAAUUCCAUGUCAUUGAGUUUUGUCUUAGCACCACGAGGUUGCCUGCUCAAUCAAUUUUUAAUCAAAUAGUUAUGGUGGAAAAAAUUAAAAUUAAGUGGCAAGGAAACACUGCAAAUUAAGCUAAGGAGUAAUAUAAUAAUACCGUAUUUUUCUUUGUCAUCUUUUGUGAGAAAAUAAAAAUUGCUCUUUGUUCUGGAACGAAUAUGACUAUGGAAGAGAGAUUUUAUUUUUAAUAUAUACAUGCACAUAAAAAUAUGCCCGAUCGAGUCCUCGUAUUUUAUUGAAACGAAUUAAUUAGUUCUUGUGGCAUCAAAGUUAAUUAAAUAGUUCUUUUUCUGUUCUUGACCAUCCUUAAUUUAAUAUAUAUAUAUUUUUAAAUAAACUCUUUCUUAAUAAAAUUUUCUAUCUCAUCCACUGCUCUUUUUAUUUUUUCUAAUUUUUAAAAUAGAAAAGAAAAAAACAAAGUAAGAUAAUACACAAACUGAAAUUUAUUGAAGAAUUAAUUUAUUAAUAAAAUAAUUAGGACCGAAAAAAUUAAUUAACAAUAGUUUUCGAAAUAAAAAAAAAACUAAUUAUUUUAUUUUAUUAAAUCACGAGGAUUAAGCAAUAUUUAACAUGCAUGGAAACAAAGUUAAAUACUCAUUCACUUCGACAAAAAUAACUGAACUUAAAUUUAAGCCUGGCUAUAUUGGCAUGUGAGAUUUGAAAAUAACAAAUUUUGGGGUUUCAGCAAGGGCUGUGUCUUUGUUACGAAAUAAUUAAUUAAUGAAUUUAAUUUGUUUGGAAAUCAAGAUUUGGUGUUAAUUUUUACAAGUCUAGAUUCAUUGAUGAGAAAAACAUUUAUCUAAAAAAAAAAAGGAUAAACAAAUAGUGAGCAAUUCACUAUUAUAAGCACAAAGAUGAAUGCACAAACACGGGAUUAUCCUCAAACCUCAAACCCCAAAGCACAAAUUAAUAUACAAUUAAGGGAAAUCGAGUGCAAAGCACAAUAUACUAUUUGAAGUUUAAAUCAGUCGAUCUAUGAGCUAGAGAGGAACCGAAAGCCAAAUAGUUUUUCGAGUAAUAAGGAUAGUUUAUGCUGAUGGAGAGAAUGAAUUUCUUUCAGAACUGGAAAUAACUCAUCUUUACUUGAGUGAUUAGAACGGAUAUACCACAAUAAUCAUUUGGUAUAAUUGAUUGUUUGACACCCAAUUAUUAAGUUGAUCUUCAGCUCUUAGCAACAGGUUCUACUUUUACCAAAAACAUCACCUGGGAUAUACACGAUGCAAUUAGAAGUUGAAAUGCCGCCAUUAAUACAGGCCGGCCAUGUAUAAAUUGACAAAAAUCAUUCAUUACUAUCAAUCAUACCGUAAAUGUAAAGUUAAUCUAUAACGGGCUGCACCGUAAACUUCAAGUUGGAUGCUUGAGAAAAUUUCUUCAUGCACAUUGUAAAAGAUGGAGGACGAGUUGCAAUAAUCGUAUCGGAAGUAGAGGAUAAUUAAAAAAUUGAAUUCCAUUCAUUUGAUGUUACAUUUUAUUUGUAAAAGAAUAAAGAAUUAAAACUGAUUUAUUUCAUAUUACAUUUACGUAUUUUAUUUUGCAUAAAGAAUAAAGAACUUUCAUAAUACGUGACAAACUCAUUAACGUGUAGCUUCUUCAAAGAAAUCUUGAUCGCUUGCAUUCAGGUGGGAGACCCUGAGGGAACCGCUUCAAGUCAGUGCAGUAGUUGUAAAUCAUGUACUUUUGUUGCACCCAUCGAAGUCUGUUGCGCCCCGGGGCAUCAAGUGCUUGAACUUGCCAGGCAUUGUCUUGCACAGAAUUGGGAGAGGUGGAGGUACAAGGUGAUGUAGAUGACCAAAUACAAGCAUUGGCUUUGAAAUUUCUGUAAGAAGCAGUGAAAGGAGCUUGUGUCCAGUCAGUCUUUACAAGCCCCCCUCUUGUUGCCCAAUCAUCAGCAUUCCAGAGACUUGAAUGUAUCCUCAUGGCUUGCUUGUUCGGGA